AUACGGAGGAUGCGAGCGUUAUCCGGAUUUAUUGGGUUUAAAGGGAGCGUAGGUGGGAUAUUAAGUCAGCUGUGAAAGUUUGGGGCUCAACCUUAAAAUUGCAGUUGAUACUGGUUUCCUUGAGUACGGUACAGGUGGGCGGAAUUCGUGGUGUUGCGGUGAAAUGCUUAGAUAUCACGAAGAACUCCGAUCGCGAAGGCAGCUCACCGGGCCGGAACUGACACUGAUGCUCGAAAGUGCGGGUAUCAAACAGGAUUAGAUACCCUGGUAGUCCGCACAGUAAACGAUGAAUACUCGCUGUUUGCGAUACACUGUAAGCGGCCAAGCGAAAGCGUUAAGUAUUCCACCUGGGGAGUACGCCGGCAACGGUGAAACUCAAAGGAAUUGGCGGGG
rnacentral:rRNA from 1 species